UACGUAGGGUGCAAGCGUUAAUCGGAGUUACUGGGCGUAAAGCGUGUGCAGGCGGCUCAUUGCGCCCGGCGUGAAAGCCCCCGGCUCAACCGGGGAGAGUCGUCGGGGACGGGUGAGCUUGAGGGUAUCAGGGGCUGGUGGAAUUCCCGGUGUAGUGGUGAAAUGCGUAGAUAUCGGGAGGAACACCCGUGGCGAAGGCGGCCAGCUGGGAUACACCUGACGCUGAGACACGAAGGCGUGGGGAGCGAACGGG
rnacentral:rRNA from 1 species